GGAAGCUCAGCAGGAGGGGCUUCAGGGAGGGAAGCGUGAGCCUAAAUGUAGCUAGAUGUCACUCAACAUAAUCACACCUUGGAGUUUGCUGUAGUGCAGGGCCGGUGUUAUCUGCAGAUGAGCAUUCGAAGCCUGGAAACCUUUUAGAGGUGGAAAAGCUAUGCAGACGUAACAGAUGUCUGAACAUCAGCACGGGAAGCUGGAGAGAGGGAGGGAGACCGAACAAAAGCCAUUUAAUCAGCAUUUGAAUAAAAAGAAGAGUGAACAGAGUACUCUCGUUUUUUUAUUUUUUUCUUUCUAACAAAUAUUAUUUUUUCUAUACCAGUGUCAGAAAUUAACUUCUAUAUACAGUAUAUAUAUUUAUAAACAGAGUGGGAUGUUCAUUUAUCUCAAAAACUAAUUAAAUUGUAACUGAAAUUCUAACUAUAGUGUCUGAACCCAUA
ensembl:lncRNA